rnacentral:sRNA from 1 species
UCAAGGUUGUCUGGUGGCCGCCUAGCAA